GCCCAAGUGGCGGAAUUGGUAGACGCGCUAGUUUCAGGGACUAGUUUUUGCAAGAAAGUGCAGGUUCGAGUCCUGUCUUGGGCA
rnacentral:tRNA from 1 species